AAGACAGUCAUCCGCAAGCCCAGAGAAGAGGCCUAGAGCAGUUUCUUCCCUCACAGCCCUCAGAAGAAACUGACCCUCCUGACACCUUGAUUUUGGACUUCGAGCCUCAGAAUUGCCCAUCACAGUGUUGUUCUGCACUUAGGAACACUAGACAGCACUUCAGCACUGCUCUUCUGGGCCAUUUUAAAAGUAGAGUCACCAACAAAAUGCAAAAAUCAUGGUGCUAAUCAAACUAUGAAAGGAGACAGCAUGAGAGCUGACGCAAGAAGGCAAGGCAUCGCUUCGUUUAGAGGGAAUGUGCAUGUCAGGUAUAGACACAUUUUUCACCAUUCUGCACGUGUCCUCAGAUGACUGCAAAAGCACCUUAGAAUAAAUCCAGGCUCCUCACCAAGCAAACAAGACCCUGUGUGAUUUGACAGCUUUUCACCCCUCUGACUACAUCUCCUCCCACCAUAUUCACAAAUCUCCAGCAGAGGAAAAGCAAGAAAAUCACCUGCUGAUUAUGAGUUAAGUCAACCCACCAACCUCCACAGGGAGAGCUCAGCUCCAGGUGCUGGGUUUUACACAUACAACAGGAACAUAUUGUCCAGUGAUGCAGGGCAUGGCCUCUGGGAUCAUACACCCUUGGUUCAAAUCUUAGCUGUGUGACUAUGGGCAAGUUGCUUAAUCUCUUUGUGCCUCAAUUCUUUUAAUCUAUAAAAUAGGGAUCAUAAUGUUUUUAUAAAAAUGUUGUAGAGUAGUUGCCAGAUUUAGAAAAUGAAAAUACAAGAUGCCCAAAUAUUGCAUAGAACAUACUUACACUAAGGAAUUAUUUGUGCCCUGGUUGGGUAGUUCAGUUGGUUGAAGUGCUAUGCACCAAAAGGUUGCAGGUUUGAUCCCUGGUCAGGGCCCAAAUGGGAGGCAACUGAACAAUGUUGUGAGCUCUCUCUCUCUC